rnacentral:rRNA from 1 species
AGUGAACGCUGGCGGUAGGCCUAACACAUGCCAGUCGAACGUCAGCACAGUAAGAGCUUGCUCUUACGGGUGGCGAGUGGCGGACGGGUGAGGAAUACAUCGGAAUCUACUUUUUCGUGGGGGAUAACGUAGGGAAACUUACGCUAAUACCGCAUACGACCUACGGGUGAAAGCAGGGGAUCUUCGGACCUUGCGCGAUUGAAUGAGCCGAUGUCGGAUUAGCUAGUUGGCGGGGUAAAGGCCCACCAAGGCGACGAUCCGUAGCUGGUCUGAGAGGAUGAUCAGCCACACUGGAACUGAGACACGGUCCAGACUCCUACGGGAGGCAGCAGUGGGGAAUAUUGGACAAUGGGCGCAAGCCUGAUCCAGCCAUACCGCGUGGGUGAAGAAGGCCUUCGGGUUGUAAAGCCCUUUUGUUGGGAAAGAAAAGCAGCAGGUUAAUACCCCGCUGUUCUGACGGUACCCAAAGAAUAAGCACCGGCUAACUUCGUG